UACGUAGGGGCCUAGCGUUGUCCGGAUUUAUUGGGCGUAAAGAGCUCGUAGGCGGUUUGGUUAGUCAAGUGUGAAAUCUCCACGCUCAACGUGGAGGGGCCACCUGAUACUGCCAUGACUUGAGUCCGGUAGGGGAGUGUGGAAUUCCCGGUGUAGCGGUGAAAUGCGCAGAUAUCGGGAGGAACACCCGUAGCGAAGGCGGCACUCUGGGCCGUGACUGACGCUGAGGAGCGAAAGCGUGGGGAGCAAACAGG
rnacentral:rRNA from 1 species